AGCAGUCGCCACGGGAAAACGGAGGGAGCUAGCGUUAUUCGGAAUUACUGGGCGUAAAGCGCACGUAGGCGGCUUUGUAAGUUAGAGGUGAAAGCCUGGAGCUCAACUCCAGAAUUGCCUUUAAGACUGCAUCGCUUGAAUCCAGGAGAGGUGAGUGGAAUUCCGAGUGUAGAGGUGAAAUUCGUAGAUAUUCGGAAGAACACCAGUGGCGAAGGCGGCUCACUGGACUGGUAUUGACGCUGAGGUGCGAAAGCGUGGGGAGCAAACAGGAUUAGAUACCCCGGUAGUCCCUGUCUCUUAUAC
rnacentral:rRNA from 1 species